UGCCUCUGGAGGUCUUUGUUUUUUCGUUUCUGACAAAGUGGCCGCACUUUCCAUGUCCUGCAGAUGUCCCUUGCAUGUCCAUGAGGGACAUCAUGAGGUCAUGCUGCGUACAUUUCGUGGAUGUAUGGCAGGGCCGAUUGUACUGCUUGCUAUAAUUUGUCUAUAGCUAUUACGUUCGUAUACCAUGUUGUGAGACAGAUGCAACGGCUCAUGCAGAUGCCCAUGCAUUAAGAACAGAUACACAGUGUGUACAUGUUAUGCGUGCAUGCACAUGUGCACAAGUAGUAUACUCCUAAUUCUUUUAGGCCUUCCGAUGUACUCAUGACAUGUUGUGAGACAGAUGCAACGGCUCAUGCAGAUGCCCAUGCAUUAAGAACAGAUACAUAGUGUGUACAUGUUACGCGUGCAUGCACAUGUGCACAAGUAGUAUACUCCUAAUUCUUUUAGGCCUUCCGAUGUACUCAUGACGUACACGAGCUGCAGUUUCGGUCUGUAAUUGGAACAUGUGAGAAAACAUAAUUAUGUUGCAAGGAAACUCAAAGAAAAAGCCUCAAAUGGAGUGCAAAUAUUCUGUAUAUAUCGAAAAAAGCCCCCGCAGGAUAACCUUAUGUGGUAAAUAUCAGAAAAAGGUAUAUGUGCGAUGUCCUAGGGACAUCUGUGGUAGGAUUACGAAACUAGAUGUCAGGCAGAUGUCCUGUUUGUCCUCAAGAUGGUGCACGGAUAUAAGGACGCGAUUCUGAUGUCCUACAGAAGAAGUGUUUUCACAUACGUGACUUUGACCAAGUUCGCUACAUUUAACAGAUUCUAGUACAAGCCGAAAAGUGGCUUUUCAUUCGGUGAAAGCUGCUUGCAUAGUUGUAGCGUCCAAGAACCCGCUGUCUGAUAUGCUUGACAGACUUAAUUGCAGUUCCGAGGACCCGAAAGAGCAGCUGCAGUCAUCUUCACUGGGCGGAGACUGUGUGGUGAGAGAUUCGAGGUGGCUGGCCAUGUCGUUCUCGAGCGUGCUGGCCUUGAGAAUCUCCUCGCGGAUCUGCGCCCGCGGUACCGGAAGACACUGGUUACGGUGCAGCACCAGGGGAAUGCUGCUCGUUGGAUGGAGGAGAAGAUAGUAGAUCACCUGCAUUAACAAAUGCUUUGUAGAUACGCCUGUGAAGUGAACCUAAGCUUAUGGGGGCAUCCGAAGCUCUAAACGUUCAACCCCUGACCCUUGCUUGUGCAGUCGUACUGACUGCCAAGUUAAUAGACAAGAAUAUAGCAUGUUCUUGAAUUUCA